rnacentral:miRNA from 1 species
UCGGAAGUUAAGCAUGGUCGGGCCUGGUUAAUACUCGAAUGGGAGACCAUCUAGGAAGGCCAGGUGC